rnacentral:lncRNA from 12 species
AUGGGAUCCCUUCCAGGACUUGCAGCUCCAGUCUGUGUCUGCAGGGGGCGCUAUGCGCACACAUUUCUCCAACUGGUGGGCGCAAAGCCUCCACCGUUGGGCUGGGAAAGGGGAAGAUGGCCUGGUAGUGGCCUUGCAGAUGGGGUGCUUCUCCAGGAGCUCCUCCACUUGACCCUCCUUCCAGGCAAUGGUAGCAGAUUCUUCCCCGGUAUCUUCCAGUGUAAGGGGUGCCCCCUUCUAUUUCUAGCUCCAGUGUUCCUUGUUAGCCCUGUGGUUUCUUUAUAUUCUGUGCACAAGCUCAUGGUAUUCUCUGAUUAUAGUCUGCUGGAAUUGUUCUAUUUCCAGUAGCUGUGACUGGUACAGAGGCAGAGCUGGGAUUUGAACACAGGGACUCCAAAAUAACCUCUUUGCAAGUGGCCUUCCAGAGCUGUGCUCAGAUUGCUUCUGCCAGGCACUGUGUCUGCCUUCCGACACAGACCAUGAUCUGCUCUCCUCUCUAGCAUUUUCCCACAACUGCAGGAAAUGUUGUUAAAUGUAUUUUCUGUGCCUGCCAGUAUAAUGACCCUAUUAAAAAAAACACACACACGCAAACUGAUGCUAGUUUUACAUAACUUGUUCUUAGGAAACAAGCUCCUUGUGAAUGCUUGCACCCCCACCCCAAGUGCUUAAUUAGAAUCAUUUCAGAGGCAAAUCAUUGAGCUGAGCCAAAGAGGCAAUGAGAAGGAUAAUUAUCCCUCAGUCUCUGCCCUAAAAUAGUUCACAGCCAAGUUGCCAACUCCCUGAUUAAUUUUUCAGGCUAGAAUAUCAUGGGGGAUGAGACUAAGCUUAUCUACAUGUGGUUUCCAAACUCUAUCCUCACAUUUGGAUAUCUAUAUCUAUAUCUAUGUCUAUAUCUAUAUCUAUAUCUAUCUAUCUAUAUCUAUAUGUUAAUCAGCACUCAGAAAGCAAAUAAUCCAAUUAAAAAAUAGGCAGAAGACAUGAACAGAUAUCUCUCCAAAGAAGACAUACGGAAGGUCAAUAGAUACAUGUAAAGAUAUUCAACAUGACUCAGCGUCAGGGAAAUGCAAAUCAAAACUACAAUGAGUUAUCACCUCAUACGUAUCAGAAUGGCUAAAAUCAACAACCCAAGAAACAACAGGUGUUGGCGAGGGUGUGGAGAAAGGGGAACCCUCUUGCACUGUUGGUGGGAAUGCAAACUAGUACAGCCACUCUGGAAAACAGUAUGGAGGUUCCUCAAGAAGUUAAAAACAGAACUAUCCUAUAAUCCAGUAAUCACACUACUGGGUAUUUACCCUGAAAUGCAAAAACACUAAAUCAAAGAGAUACAUGCACCCCUAUAUUUUAUUGCAACAUUAUUUACAAUACCCAAAUUAUGGGGGAUCCCUGGGUGGCUCAGUGGUUUAGCACCUGCCUUCAGCCUAGGGAAUGAUCCUGGAGUCCCAGGAUCAAGUCCCACAUCAGGCUCCCUGCAUGGAGCCUGCUACUCCCUCUGCCUGUGUCUCUGCCUCUCUGUCUGUGUCUCUCAUGAAUAAAUAAAUAAAAUCUUAAAAAAAAAAAAGGAAA